GAUGAACGCUAGCUACAGGCUUAACACAUGCAAGUCGAGGGGUAACGAGAGGAAAGCUUGCUUUCCUUGUCGACGACCGGCGCACGGGUGAGUAACGCGUAUCCAACCUGCCCCCAACUAGGGAAUAACCUUGCGAAAGUAAGACUAAUACCCUAUAAUUUCCUCAGAUGUCAUCUGACGAGGAAUAAAGAUUUAUCGGUUGUGGAUGGGGAUGCGUCUGAUUAGCUUGUUGGCGGGGUAACGGCCCACCAAGGCAACGAUCAGUAGGGGUUCUGAGAGGAAGGUCCCCCACAUUGGAACUGAGACACGGUCCAAACUCCUACGGGAGGCAGCAGUGAGGAAUAUUGGUCAAUGGGCGGAAGCCUGAACCAGCCAAGUAGCGUGCAGGAUGACGGCCCUAUGGGUUGUAAACUGCUUUUAUACAGGAAUAAAGUUAGCCACGUGUGGUUAUUUGUAGGUACUGUAUGAAUAAGGGUCGGCUAACUACGUGCCAGCCGCCGCCGUAA
rnacentral:rRNA from 1 species